rnacentral:rRNA from 1 species
CCUACGGGGGGCAGCAGUGGGGAAUAUUGCACAAUGGGGGAAACCCUGAUGCAGCGACGCCGCGUGAGUGAAGAAGUAUUUCGGUAUGUAAAGCUCUAUCAGCAGGGAAGAAAAUGACGGUACCUGACUAAGAAGCCCCGGCUAACUACGUGCCAGCAGCCGCGGUAAUACGUAGGGGGCAAGCGUUAUCCGGAUUUACUGGGUGUAAAGGGAGCGUAGGUGGCAUGUCAAGUCAGAUGUGAAAGCCCGGGGCUCAACCCCGGGAUUGCAUUUGAAACUGAUAUGCUAGAGUGCAGGAGAGGUAAGUGGAAUUCCUAGUGUAGCGGUGAAAUGCGUAGAUAUUAGGAGGAACACCAGUGGCGAAGGCGGCUUACUGGACUGUAACUGACACUGAGGCUCGAAAGCGUGGGGAGCAAACAGGAUUAGAUACCCUUGUAGUC